CCAUAUCAACUAUAUGGGGGAAAGAAUGUUACUAAUUUGUGACGAAGUAGCAUCUUUGGUGAAGAAUUUCAUGAUGAAACAUCGCAGGCAGAUAGUAAUGGAAGGUUGACAUUCAUUUGCAGAUAAGGACGUGCCAAGAAUGGAGGAACAAAACCAUGAAGACUACAACUGAGAGCCAUAGUUGGCCGAGUCGUUUAAGCAGAACAUGCAUUUUUAACACAGAAGGUAAUAUGUCUUAGUGGCAUAAUACACAAAUCUUAAAAGUUCUUUAAUGGCAUAAUCAAGACAAUCACAAUAAGCUAGAUAAGGUUUUAAACCUGAACUGAAGUCAUGCAGUUGACGACAGUUCCAAAUUUGUUCCCCACAGCCAAACCAAGAACCAAGUCCUCACACAGAGAAGAAUCAGGCACGGGCUUCAGGCCAAGCUCCUGCUACACCAGUAUCUGCCAUCAUUACUCUGCAUAACAGCACACAGAAAUGUGAGUUAUAUGUAUUCUACAAAGCUCUCCAGGAAGAAAGCAUUGUAUUUUUGCUUGUUUGCAUACCCGUUAACGAGGGAGAUGCAUAUUUGUCACAGUUGUACUAUGGCGACCUGCUAUAGCUGCGUCCACGAGCCGGUGAAGGAGUACAGCGCCUUGGAGAGCGAUAACGAGGGCUAUAGCUCCU
rnacentral:lncRNA from 1 species